rnacentral:rRNA from 1 species
UUAUCUCCCCCAAGAGUUCACAUCGACGGGGAGGUUUGGCACCUCGAUGUCGGCUCAUCGCAUCCUGGGGCUGUAGUCGGUCCCAAGGGUUGGGCUGUUCGCCCAUUAAAGCGGUACGCGAGCUGGGUUCAGAACGUCGUGAGACAGUUCGGUCCCUAUCCGUCGUGGGCGUAGGAAAUUUGAGAGGAGCUGUCCUUAGUACGAGAGGACCGGGAUGGACAUACCUCUGGUGUACCAGUUGUCGUGCCAACGGCAUAGCUGGGUAGCUAUGUGUGGACGGGAUAAGUGCUGAAAGCAUCUAAGCAUGAAGCCCCCCUCAAGAUGAGAUUUCCCAACUUCGGUUAUAAGAUUCCUCAAAGAUGAUGAGGUUAAUAGGUUCGAGGUGGAAGCAUGGUGACAUGUGUAGCUGACGAAUACUAAUCGAUCGAAGACUUAAUCAA